GUGUCAGCAGCCGCGGUAAUACGUAGGGUGCAAGCGUUAAUCGGAAUUACUGGGCGUAAAGCGUGCGCAGGCGGUUAUGUAAGACAGGUGUGAAAUCCCCGGGCUUAACCUGGGAAUUGCAUUUGUGACUGCAUGGCUAGAGUUUGGCAGAGGGGGGUAGAAUUCCACGUGUAGCAGUGAAAUGCGUAGAUAUGUGGAGGAAUACCGAUGGCGAAGGCAGCCCCCUGGGUCAAGACUGACGCUCAUGCACGAAAGCGUGGGGAGCAAACAGGAUUAGAAACCCCAGUAGUCC
rnacentral:rRNA from 1 species